rnacentral:rRNA from 1 species
AGUACUCAGCGCAGUCUGAUGCAGCCCUGCCGCGUGAGUGAAGAAGGCCUUCGGGUUGUAAAGUCUUUCGGUGGGGAGGAAGGCGGUGAGGUUAAUAUGCUGGCCGAUUGACGUUAUCCGAACAAAAAGCCCCGGCUAACUCCGUGCCAGCAGCCGCGGUAAUACGGAGGGGGCAAGCGUUAUUCGGAUUUACUGGGCGUAAAGCGCGCGCAGGCGGUUUGUUAAGUCUGAUGUGAAAUCCCCCGGCUUAACCUGGGAACUGCAUUUGAAACUGGCAAGCUUGAGUGUCGAAGAGGGGGGUGGAAUUCCAUGUGUAGCGGUGAAAUGCGUAGAUAUCUGGAAGAACACCGGUGGCGAAGGCGGCCCCCUGGACUAAAACUGACGCUCAGGUUCGAAAGCGUGGGGAGCAAACAGGAUUAGAUACCCUGGUAGUCCACGCCGUAAACGAUGUCUACUUGGAGGUGGAGGCCUUCCGCCCUGCCUUCCCGAGCUUACCCCUUAAAUCAUCCCCCCUGGGAAGACCGACCGCAGGGUAAAACCUCAAAUGAAUGGGACGGGA